UACGGGAGGCAGCAGGGGGAAUAUUGCACAAUGGGCGCAAGCCUGAUGCAGCCAUGCCGCGUGUAUGAAGAAGGCCUUCGGGUUGUAAAGUACUUUCAGUCGUGAGGAAGGUGUUAAGGUUAAUAACCUUAGCAAUUGACGUUAGCGACAGAAGAAGCACCGGCUAACUCCGUGCCAGCAGCCGCGGUAAUACGGAGGGUGCGAGCGUUAAUCGGAAUUACUGGGCGUAAAGGGCACGCAGGCGGUUAAUUAAGUUGGAUGUGAAAUCCCCGGGCUUAACCUGGGAAUGGCAUUCAAGACUGGUUAGCUAGAGUCUUGUAGAGGGGGUUAGAAUUCCAUGUGUAGCGGUGAAAUGCGUAGAGAUGUGGAGGAAUACCGGUGGCGAAGGCGGCCCCUGGACAAAGACUGACGCUCAUGUGCGAAAGCGUGGGGAGCAAACAGGGAUUUAGAUACC
rnacentral:rRNA from 1 species